rnacentral:misc_RNA from 1 species
GAGAAGAACGUAGCGAAAUGCGAUAAGUAAUGUGAAUUGCAGAAUUCCGUGAAUCAUCGAAUCUUUGAACGCACAUUGCGCCCGUCAGUAUUCUGGCGGGCAUGCCUGUUCGAGCGUCAUUACGCCCCUCAAGUCCCCUGUGGACUUGGUGUUGGGGAUCGGCGAGGCUGGUUUUCCAGCACAGCCGUCCCUUAAAUUAAUUGGCGGUCUCGCCGUGGCCCUCCUCUGCGCAGUAGUAAAACACUCGCAACAGGAGCCCGGCGCGGUCCACUGCCGUAAAACCCCCCAACUUUUUAUAGUUGACCUCGAAUCAGGUAGGACUACCCGCUGAACUUAAGCAUAUCAAUAAGCGGAGGA